AAGAAAGAAAAAAGAACUGCUAAUUCUUUAUAUCAUACAUAAAACUAUGGCUUUCUUA
ensembl:Mt_tRNA